GACGAACCGUGCUAACGUUAUUCGGAAUCACUGGGCUUAAAGGGCGCGUAGGCGGGCAAGCAAGUCGAAGGUGAAAUCCCACGGCUCAACCGUGGAAGUGCCCCCGAUACUGCUUGUCUGGAGGGAGAUAGGGGCGUGCGGAACUUCCGGUGGAGCGGUGAAAUGCGUAGAUAUCGGGAGGAACACCGGUGGCGAAGGCGGUUCUCUGGGCCUUACCUGACGCUGAGGAGCGAAAGCGUGGGGAGCGAACAGG
rnacentral:rRNA from 1 species